rnacentral:rRNA from 1 species
CAGCCGCCGCGGUAAUGCGAAGGGUGCAAGCGUUAAUCGGAAUUACUGGGCGUAAAGCGUGCGUAGGCGGUGAGUUAAGUCUGCUGUGAAAUCCCCGGGCUCAACCUGGGAAUGGCAGUGGAUACUGGCUCGCUAGAGUGUGUCAGAGGAUGGUGGAAUUCCCGGUGUAGCGGUGAAAUGCGUAGAGAUCGGGAGGAACAUCAGUGGCGAAGGCGGCCAUCUGGGACAACACUGACGCUGAGGCACGAAAGCGUGGGGAGCAGACAGGAUUAGAUACCCCAGUAGUCCCUGUCUCUUAUAC